CGACCCUCGAGCCCCCGCGGCCCCCCACUGGGAGAACCCCAGCGGGGCGUGCCGGCCCGCGGGGCUCGGUGUUGGGGGACGGCCGCCCGCGCCGCCCCCGAAAUGCAGUGGCGACCCCCGCCGCGGCCUCCCCUGCGCAGUAGCUUCUCUCCCAGAGACCUCGCACCGGAGCGCGGAGGCGGUCACGCCGUAAAGAAGACCCCUUCUCUGA
rnacentral:misc_RNA from 1 species